AUACGAAGGUCCCAAGCGUUAUUCGGAAUCACUGGGCGUAAAGAGUACGUAGGCGGUUUGGUAAGUCAGGAGUGAAAUCCCGGAGCUCAACUCCGGAACUGCAUCCGAUACUGCCAGACUUGAGUAAUGGAGAGGCAGGUGGAAUUCUCGGUGUAGCAGUGAAAUGCGUGGAUAUCGAGAGGAAGACCAAUGGCGAAGGCAGCCUGCUGGACAUUUACUGACGCUGAGGUACGAAGGCUAGGGGAGCGAAAGGGAUUAGAAACCCCUGUAGUCC
rnacentral:rRNA from 1 species